UGUGCCAGCCGCCGCGGUAAUUCAGAGGGCGCGAGCGUAAAUCGGAUUUACUGGGCGUAAAGCGUGCGUAGGCGGCUUUUUAAGUCAGAUGUCCAAUCCCCGACCUCACCUUGAGAAUUGCUUUCGAUACUGGGAAGCUAGAGAAUGGCAGAGGAUGGUAGAAUUCUAGGUGUAGCCGUGAAUUGUAUUGAGAGCUGGAGGAAUACUUAUGGGGAAGGCUUUCCUCUGGCCCUUACUGACGCUGAGGAAGAAAGCAUGGUGAGCCAACUUGAUUAGAUACCCUGGUAGCCCAUGCCGUAAACAAUGACUACUAGCCGUUGGGGCCUUUGACGCUUUAAUGGCGCAGCUAACGCGUUAAGUAGACCGCCUGGGGAGUACGGUCGCCAGACUAAAACUCAAAUGAAUUGACGGGGGCCCGCACAAGCGGUGGAGCAUGUGGUGUAAUUCGAUGCAACGCGAAGAACCUUACCUGGCCUUGACAUACUACAAACUUUCCAGAGAUGGAUUGGUGCCUUCUGGAACCUACAUACAGGUGCUGCAUGGCUGUCGUCAGGUCGUGUCGUGAGAUGUUGGGUUAAGUCCCGCAACGAGCGCAACCCUCGUCCUUGGUUGCCAGCAUUUAGGAUGGUAACCUGUGAUACUGCCAGCGACAACUGGUAGGAGGGCGGGUACGACGUCAUGUCAUCAUGCCCUUACGGCAUGGGCUACCACCCUGCUCAAUGGCUGGUACAUGGGCUGCUACAGUCGAGCGAUGCUAUUCCUAAAGCUAUCGGAGCUCGGACUCGGAUCGCCAGCUGAUUCCAUGACGUCGUAACGCUAGUCAUCGCG
rnacentral:rRNA from 1 species